rnacentral:rRNA from 1 species
CGGACGGGUGAGUAAUGUCUGGGAAACUGCCCGAUGGAGGGGGAUAACUACUGGAAACGGUAGCUAAUACCGCAUAACGUCGCAAGACCAAGAGGGGGACCUUAGGGCCUCUUGCCAUCGGAUGUGCCCAGAUGGGAUUAGCUAGUAGGUGGGGUAAUGGCUCACCUAGGCGACGAUCCCUAGCUGGUCUGAGAGGAUGACCAGCCACACUGGAACUGAGACACGGUCCAG